rnacentral:SRP_RNA from 1 species
UCGCAUGGCGUAUAUCUCGUGAACCCCCCCAGGGCAGGAAUGCAGCAAGGGUCAGCGGGCUCUGACGGGUGUGCGGAGUCC